UCACUUCACAUUAAUCGCCAAGCGCCUAUAUAGGCGGUGCCGGACUCGUCCGGCUAUGGUGAUAAAUUGUUGCGUGCAAUAGAUGCAGCGGACCCGGGGGCGGUACCCGGCGGCUCCACCACUUCCCCUGUUCCGGCAGGGGCAAAUGACGGGGCCGAACUAGGAUCGACGUGUGUUGAAAAGCGCAGUUUUCACCCGGGCUGAGUAACCCGUUCAAGGCUCAAAACUCACAAGUGCCAACGAUAACGAAGCACUUGCUCUUGCUGCGUAAUUCUAGGGCCUAACGGCCUGAAGUUACACACCCAAGAACGGGGUCCGGGGCGUACCUAGCAACAGAAACGCCCCACU
rnacentral:tmRNA from 2 species